GACGAACGCUGGCGGCGUGCCUAAUACAUGCAAGUUGAGCGCUGAAGGUUGGUACUUGUACCGACUGGUUGAGCAGCGAACGGGUGAGUAAAGUGUAGGGAAUCUGCCUUUGAGCGGGGGACAAAAUUUGGAAACGAAUGCUAAUACCGCAUAAAAACUUUAAACACAAGUUUUAAGUUUGAAAGAUGCAAUUGCAUCACUCAAAGAUGAUCCCGCGUUGUAUUAGCUAGUUGGUGAGGUAAAGGCUCACCACGGCGAUGAUACAUAGCCGACCUGAGAGGGUGAUCGGCCACAUUGGGACUGGGACACGGCCCAAACUCCUACGGGAGGCAGCAGUAGGGAAACUUCGGCAAUGGACGGAAGUCUUACCGAGCAACGCCGGGUGAGUGAAGAAGGGUUUCGGAUCGUAAAACUCUGUUGGUAGGGAAGAACGUUGGUGAGAGUGAAAAGCUCAUUAAGUGACGGUAACUACCCAGAAAGGGACGGCUAACUACGUG
rnacentral:rRNA from 1 species